UCCUCCGUCUGUCUCAACUGCUCAAACUCCACAACCUUUAGCUCCCUGGAACUGUCAGGGAAAGCCCACCCAGCAAAUUCGUUGGCGAACUCUUCCCAUGUCAUACUGUCAAUUCUGGGGUCCACAUAGUUCUUGAACCAUUCUCUGGCUUUCUUGCACUUUAAUGUGAACCCUGCCAUCUCAAUGGCCCUGCUAUCAUCUGCUCCCAACUCGCUUGUUAUCAUUCUGACUGCACUGAGAUACUCAAAGGGAUCAUCUCCCGUAUUGAAUUUAGGAGCA
rnacentral:lncRNA from 1 species